rnacentral:rRNA from 1 species
UGGGGAAUUUUGGACAAUGGGCGAAAGCCUGAUCCAGCAAUGCCGCGUGUGUGAAGAAGGCCUUCGGGUUGUAAAGCACUUUUGUCCGGAAAGAAAUCCUUGGCUCUAAUACAGUCGGGGGAUGACGGUACCGGAAGAAUAAGCACCGGCUAACUACGUGCCAGCAGCCGCGGUAAUACGUAGGGUGCAAGCGUUAAUCGGAAUUACUGGGCGUAAAGCGUGCGCAGGCGGCUUGCUAAGACCGAUGUGAAAUCCCCGGGCUCAACCUGGGAACUGCAUUGGUGACUGGCAGGCUAGAGUAUGGCAGAGGGGGGUAGAAUUCCACGUGUAGCAGUGAAAUGCGUAGAGAUGUGGAGGAAUACCGAUGGCGAAGGCAGCCCCCUGGGCCAAUACUGACGCUCAUGCACGAAAAGCUGGGGAGCAAACAGGACUAGAUACCCUGGUAGUCCAGCGCCCUAAACGAUGUCAACUAGUUGUUGGGGAUUCAUUCCUUAGUAACGUAGCUAACGCGUGAAGUUGACCGCCUGGGGAGUACGGUCGCAAGAUU